UACGUAGGUGACCAGCGUUGUCCGGAUUUACUGGGCGUAAAGAGCGCGCAGGCGGUCGUUCAAGUCGAGUGUGAAAGCCCCCGGCUCAACUGGGGAGGGUCACUCGAUACUGAUCGACUGGAAGGCAGGAGAGGGAAGCGGAAUUCCCGGUGUAGUGGUGAAAUGCGUAGAUAUCUGGAGGAACACCGGUGGCGAAGGCGGCAUCCUGGACCGGCAUUGACGCUGAGGCGCGAAAGCCAGGGGAGCAAACGGG
rnacentral:rRNA from 1 species